rnacentral:rRNA from 1 species
GAUGAACGCUGGCGGCGUGCCUAAUACAUGCAAGUCGAGCGAAGCGGGGACGGGUGAGUAACACGUGGAUAACCUCCUAUAAGACUGGGAUAAUUUCGGGAAACCUGAGUUAAACCGGUUGCUUACAGUUUGAUCCUCGCUGCAUUAGCUAGUUGUUAAGGUAACGGCUUACCAAGGCUACGAUGCAUAGCCGACCUGAGAGGAUGAUCAGCCAAACUGGAACUGAGACACGGUCCAGACUCCUACGGGAGGCAGCAGUAGGGAAUAUUCCGCAAUGGGCGAAAGCCUGACGGAGCAACGCCGCGUGAGUGAAGAAGGUCUUAGGAUCGUAAAGCUCUGUUAUUAGGGAAGCGGUACCUAAUCAGAAAGCCACGGCUAACUACGUGCCAGCCGCCGCGGUAAUAC